rnacentral:rRNA from 1 species
CCUACGGGAGGCAGCAGUGGGGAAUAUUGGACAAUGGGGGAAACCCUGAUCCAGCGACGCCGCGUGAGUGAAGAAGUAUUUCGGUAUGUAAAGCUCUAUCAGCAGGGAAGAAAAUGACGGUACCUGACUAAGAAGCCCCGGCUAACUACGUGCCAGCAGCCGCGGUAAUACGUAGGGGGCAAGCGUUAUCCGGAUUUACUGGGUGUAAAGGGAGCGCAGACGGCGAAGCAAGUCUGAAGUGAAAUGCAUGGGCUCAACCCAUGAAUUGCUUUGGAAACUGUUUGGCUUGAGUGUCGGAGGGGUAAGCGGAAUUCCUAGUGUAGCGGUGAAAUGCGUAGAUAUUAGGAGGAACACCGGAGGCGAAGGCGGCUUACUGGACGACAACUGACGUUGAGGCUCGAAGGCGUGGGGAGCAAACAGGAUUAGAUACCCCAGUAGUC